rnacentral:rRNA from 1 species
GUGGUUUAAUUCGAUGCAACGACGAAAACCUUACCCACUUUGACAUGUACGGAAUCCUUUAGAGAUAGAGGAGUGCUCGAAAGAGAGCCGUAACACAGGUGCUGCAUGGCUGUCGUCAGCUCGUGUCGUGAGAUGUUGGGUUAAGUCCCGCAACGAGCGCAACCCUUGUCAUUAGUUGCUACAUUCAGUUGGGCACUCUAAUGAGACUGCCGGUGACAAACCGGAGGAAGGUGGGGAUGACGUCAAGUCCUCAUGGCCCUUAUAGGUGGGGCUACACACGUCAUACAAUGGAUGGUACAAAGGGUCGCCAACCCGCGAGGGGGAGCCAAUCCCAUAAAGCCAUUCGUAGUCCGGAUCGCAGUCUGCAACUCGACUGCGUGAAGUCGGAAUCGCUAGUAAUCGCGGAUCAGCAUGUCGCGGUGAAUACGUUCCCGGGUCUU